rnacentral:rRNA from 1 species
GACGAACGCUGGCGGCGUGCUUAACACAUGCAAGUCGAACGGAAAGGCCCUGCGUUUGUGGGGUGCUCGAGUGGCGAACGGGUGAGUAACACGUGAGUAACCUGCCCUUGACUUUGGGAUAACUUCAGGAAACUGGGGCUAAUACCGGAUAGGAGCUCCUGCUGCAUGGUGGGGGUUGGAAAGUUUCGGCGGUUGGGGAUGGACUCGCGGCUUAUCAGCUUGUUGGGGGGGUAGUGGCUUACCAAGGGUUUGACGGGUAGCCGGCCUGGGAGGGUGACCAGCCACAUUGGGACUGCGAUACGGCCCAGAAUCCUACGGGAGGCAGCAGUGGGGAAUAUUGCACAAUGGGCGGAAGCCUGAUGCAGCAACGCCGCGUGCGGGAUGACGGCCUUCGGGUUGUAAACCGCUUUCGCCUGUGACGAAGCGUGAGUGACGGUAAUGGGUAAAGAAGCACCGGCUAACUACGUG